rnacentral:rRNA from 1 species
UACGAAGGGGACUAGCGUUGUUCGGAAUUACUGGGCGUAAAGCGCACGUAGGCGGAUUUGUAAGUCAGGGGUGAAAUCCCGGGGCUCAACCUCGGAACUGCCUUUGAUACUGCAAAUCUCGAGUCCGAUAGAGGUGGGUGGAAUUCCUAGUGUAGAGGUGAAAUUCGUAGAUAUUCGGAAGAACACCAGUGGCGAAGGCGACUCGCUGGACAGGUAUUGACGCUGAGGUGCGAAAGCGUGGGGAGCAAACAGG